rnacentral:rRNA from 1 species
GAUGAACGCUGGCGGCGUGCCUAAUACAUGCAAGUCGAGCGAACGGACGAGAAGCUUGCUUCUCUGAUGUUAGCGGCGGACGGGUGAGUAACACGUGGAUAACCUACCUAUAAGACUGGGAUAACUUCGGGAAACCGGAGCUAAUACCGGAUGAUAUUUUGAACCGCAUGGUUCAAAAGUGAAAGACGGUCUUGCUGUCACUUAUAGAUGGAUCCGCGCUGCAUUAGCUAGUUGGUAAGGUAACGGCUUACCAAGGCAACGAUGCAUAGCCGACCUGAGAGGGUGAUCGGCCACACUGGAACUGAGACGCGGUCCAGACUCCUACGGGAGGGAGCAGUAGGGAAUCUUCCGCUAUGGGCGAAAGCCUGACGGAGCAACGACGCGUGAGUGAUGAAGGUCUUCGGAUCGUAAAACUCUGUUAUUAGGGAAGAACAUAUGUGUAAGUAACUGUGCACAUCUUGACGGUACCUAAUCAGAAAGCCACGGCUAACUACGUG